AUUGAACUUUCAUUAUCUACAAGGAUUCUUUUUACAUCACAAUUCACUAUUAUUGUCGAAACAACAACAGCAUCAUCAUGGAAAGUCUGAAUUCCCUGAACAUCUUCUCUGAAAAAGUUAUUACAUUGUCGAAUCAUCAUCGCUUUGCCAACUCAUCUUUGAAACCCCCCUAUCCAGUCAUCCGGAGAUCAUGUUAAUCACCCCUGU
rnacentral:lncRNA from 1 species